rnacentral:rRNA from 1 species
AAUAGAUACCCGGGUAGUCCACGCCGUAAGCGAUGAAUGCUAGGUGUUAGGGGUUUCGAUACCCUUGGUGCCGAAGUUAACACAUUAAGCAUUCCGCCUGGGGAGUACGGCCGCAAGGCUGAAACUCAAAGGAAUUGACGGGGACCCGCACAAGCAGUGGAGUAUGUGGUUUAAUUCGAAGCAACGCGAAGAACCUUACCAGGUCUUGACAUCCCCCUGACCGGCGCAGAGAUGUGCCUUUCCUUCGGGACAGGGGAGACAGGUGGUGCAUGGUUGUCGUCAGCUCGUGUCGUGAGAUGUUGGGUUAAGUCCCGCAACGAGCGCAACCCUUGACUUUAGUUGCCAGCAAGUAAGGUUGGGCACUCUAGAGUGACUGCCGGUGACAAACCGGAGGAAGGUGGGGAUGACGUCAAAUCAUCAUGCCCCUUAUGACCUGGGCUACACACGUACUACAAUGGCCGGUACAACGGGAAGCGAAGGAGCGAUCUGGAGCGAAUCCUUUAAAGCCGGUCUCAGUUCGGAUUGCAGGCUGCAACUCG